rnacentral:lncRNA from 1 species
UAUAUAUAUUUAAUAUAGUUCUCUCUUGCCUUUAUUCUGAAUUUUCUUUAGAACAUGAACAACUACUGAAGGAGAAGGGCAAAAUACAAGAAGAAUGUGUUAGUCUACAGGAUGAGAUAGACAAAAUACAACAAGAUUAUGAUGAAUGCAACAAGAGAAUAAUGCAAGAACAUGAUCAACAUUUACAGUCACUUGCGAACACACAAUCAAAAAAAGAAGAUAAAAAGUGACGUUUACGACCAGGUGGAGGUGAAGGAG